CCUACGGGUGGCAGCAGUGAGGAAUAUUGGUCAAUGGACGCGAGCCUGAACCAGCCAAGUCGCGUGAAGGAUGACGGCCCUACGGGUUGUAAACUUCUUUUGUACGAGAGUAAAGUGCGACACGUGUGCCUGUUUGUAUGUACUUUAUGAAUAAGGAUCGGCUAACUCCGUGCCAGCAGCCGCGGUAAUACGGAGGAUCCGAGCGUUAUCCGGAUUUAUUGGGUUUAAAGGGAGCGUAGACGGGUUGUUAAGUCAGUUGUGAAAGUUUGCGGCUCAACCCUAAAAUUGCAAUUGAUACUGGUAGACUAGAGUACAGUUGAGGUAGGCGGAAUGCGUGGUGUAGCGGUGAAAUGCUUAGAUAUCAUGAAGAACUCCGAUUGCGAAGGCAGCCUACUAAACUGCCACUGACAUUGAUGCACGAAAGUGUGGGUAUCAAACAGGAUUAGAUACCCUGGUAGUC
rnacentral:rRNA from 1 species